rnacentral:rRNA from 1 species
CGAUCGGCGAUUCAACUAGACUUGACGCCCCUGAUUCGUACACGCGAGGCCGACGGAUAUUACAGCCUGAGUAUCUUUCACAGGCGGGGCUUAAACAUUCACACCGAACUGGGCUGUGAUGUGNNAUAACUGCGGGAAACUGUAGCUAAUACCGGAUACUUUCCUCGGUGGGCAUCCACUGAGGAAGAAAGAAUUUCGGUCAAGGAUGAGCUCGCGACCUAUCAGCUAGUUGGUGAGGUAAAGGCUCACCAAGGCGACGACGGGUAGCCGGCCUGAGAGGGUGACCGGCCACACUGGGACUGAGACACGGCCCAGACUCCUACGGGAGGCAGCAGUGGGGAAUAUUGCACAAUGGACGAAAGUCUGAUGCAGCAACGCCGCGUGAGGGACGAAGGCCUUCGGGUUGUAAACCUCUU